rnacentral:tRNA from 1 species
AGAGCCAGAUCUAAGAUUUUGAAAAUCUGAAUUAGGGAGCUUUUCUCUUGGUUCUU